UCAGUUUCAUUGUCCAACCCCUGUAUAGUCCCUGAGCACUUUAUUCAAACUUUUAUAAUCAUUUAUUUAAUCAUCUAAUCACCCAAUCUUGUGGGACUACAGUGCAGUGUGUAAAAGCAUGCAGACCAGCAGCUUCAGUUAAGACUUAUUUUAAAUGACCAUUAAGACUGAUAUUUUCUGUAGUGAGUCAUAACAUGAUACGGAUGUAUCAUCAGAUAUUAAAGAAACACGUUGUUAAGGAACUGUGUGUUAUGUCACAUAAUCUGUGUGGGUUGUGGCCUCUAAACCUGCCAACCACCAUUCUGCCAGUCCAUUUUCACAACUUGGGUUGACAGGUAUAGACAAUAGAAUGCAAACAGUGUGCUGCAGCCAUGGAAUUGCACCAAUUAGUCAUCAAUUAGUACGCUACAGUCUAUUUGAGAUUGUUGCUGACCAUGCGCAUCCAUUCAUGGCCACAAUUUACUCAUCUUCUAAUGGUUACUUUGGACAACAAAACAUAAGAAACAUAAAACCUUUUUGACUAUUUUAUAAUCAUUUAUUUAAUCAUCUAAUCACCCAAUCUUGGGUGACACUGAGACUGAUCAGACUACUUAGUGUAUAUAAUUGCUUGCGUGUGUGUGUUGGCAGGGUACAUAAGAAGAAGCUAAAAAAGAGCUUCUUCGCUAUCUCAUGGUCCAAGUUCCUCGAUAGGACAGGAUGGACAGAUGGAGACUGUGAGGAGUGUGAGGAGAUUUUGGAAUGGGAUUGACAGGUUGUGCAGAUGCCAACAUUUCCUAGUGCCGUUCCGGAGCUUCUUUGGAGUCAUGCUUAUUAGAAAAGCAAUGAAAACAUGCACAUCCAGAGUCUUUUUUUGUGAUCAUUACCUUCUGCAAGUUGUGGAGUGAAGCAGAUGGUGUCCCUCAUAGGGUGAGUAAUUUAAGCUCAUGACUUAAUUUAGGGGGGCUCAUGAACAAAUGGAAAGGAGUAUUUAUGCGUGCAUGGUUUCUGUGUGAUGGGGUGGGUGGGUAAAACACCAUGAUGUAUAGCAGAGGAGGAAAGGGUUAAAUGGAAAAGUGAAGGAUGGACGAGAGUCAUAUGUGCCACUAAGCCCCUUUGUUCUUGUUUAGGGCCUUUACCUGGGAAAACCCUUUACUAAACAAAAACUUUCUCUCACGCGUUUAUACUUGAAUUUUUUUAAAUGAAUCUAAAAACCUCUAAUAGUAUCUUUUGUAGGUUGACAGUCAGUAUGUUCGGAUAUCAGCCUAGAGUCAUCUGCUUAACUCCCUAACAGUCUUAUUUAAGUAACAGUCCAGUUUAAUGGCAGAUUAUUUCUCCAACGUGGUAUGCAAGUUUAUUUCACAUGCUUCUUGAUUGUUUUAUUUGAACUUUAUUACGUGUGAUCAGAACUGAAUAUUUGGCUUGAUUUGGCCCUAUCUCGCCCUGUUUGGCUCCUAUCUAAUAGGAGAUUGAUUUUUGGGAGAGUUUAGUAGCCUGCAGAUGGUGAGAAUAUUAAAGGCUCUGAUGUAUACAGUGUGAUGGCUACACAUCUGACAGUGUCUCUGUCAAAGCCCUGUGGCCUGUGGGCCCUCUAAUCUCAACAUAUCACAAACACCCAGCCUGCAUGCAGUCUCAUAUAAAGACCCCAUAAUAGUUCUGUGGUCUAUAGUGACUGGGUGGGAUACAGUGUGUGUGCGUUGGGAGACUACAGUUACUACUUAUUUUAUUGUUUUCAGGGGGGUUAAUUCUGCAUGAAUACACCUGUAUGCUCUAAGAUGCCUCUAAAUUUGACUGUUAUUGUGUACCUGUAUGUCAUUUAUUGCAAAAAGUGAUGAGAGGCCUGGCCCAUGACAUUGUUCCAAAAUUAUAUCUAGCUUGUGAUUAUAUGAAAUCUUGACCUAUCCUGCACAUACAGUGCUGAGCAAAAUCUUUGACACCUAUGAAAAUUAAAAUAAAAUCUAAAAGUAAUUUACAUCAUUGUGUUUAUUAACACAUUCAGGCAUUCACAGAGAAUGCAAUAUGUCAGAUGUACCAGUAUGGCCAAAUCACAAACCAAUCAUCUAAACCAUAUUUGGGUUGUAAUUUUUUAAGGUGCAGGGUUAUAUGUCAUUUCAAGUACUUUUUCCGAGUGCGAUAAAAAGGCAUUUUUGUUUUUUAUUAAGUGUAAUUGUAGAUGGUAGGUUACUGGAAUGUUUUCCUCACAUGGGUGUCAUACAGGUUGAUUUAUGUGCUUAAAAUAUAAUCAAACAUGCAACAAAUUAAUAUAUAUAUAUAUAUAUAUAUA